rnacentral:rRNA from 1 species
CCUACGGGAGGCAGCAGUGAGGAAUAUUGGUCAAUGGCCGCGAGCCUGAACCAGCCAAGUCGCGUGAAGGAUGACUGCCCUACGGGUUGUAAACUUCUUUUGUAGAGGAGUAAAGCGAGUCACGUGUGACUUUUUGUGUGUACUUUAUGAAUAAGGAUCGGCUAACUCCGUGCCAGCAGCCGCGGUAAUACGGAGGAUUCGAGCGUUAUCCGGAUUUAUUGGGUUUAAAGGGUGCGUAGGGGGGAUUUUAAGUCCGGUGUGAAAGGUUGGGGCUCAACCCCAUAAUUGCAAUUGAUACUGGCAGCAGUGAGUACAGGAGAGGUAGGCGGAAUGCGUGGUGUAGCGGUGAAAUGCUUAGAUAUCACGAAGAACUCCGAUUGCGAAGGCAGCAUACCA